UACGUAGGCAGCAAGCGUUGUUCGGAGUUACUGGGCGUAAAGGGUGUGUAGGCGGUUUUUUAAGUUUGGUGUGAAAUCUCCCGGCUCAACUGGGAGGGUGCGCCGAAUACUGAAAGACUAGAGUGCGGGAGAGGAAAGUGGAAUUCCUGGUGUAGCGGUGAAAUGCGUAGAUAUCAGGAGGAACACCGGUGGUGUAGACGGCUUUCUGGACCGUAACUGACGCUGAGAACACGAAAGCGUGGGUAGCAAACAGG
rnacentral:rRNA from 1 species